rnacentral:tRNA from 1 species
GCCGCGUGUUCGGGGGCUGAGGUCGUCGCGGGGCCGGUCACGAACCGGCCGUACCCGCGCGGCCAGUUGGAAACCGGCCCCGCGACACC